CCUGUCCCUAGAGGUAUUGCAUGCGUGGCUGCUAUGUCACAUGUGGGAAAGUACAUGGCAGAGAGAAAGGAUAUGUUUGAGUUCAAUGUUCUGGCCUGCAAACAUCUGAAUGAAAGUAGUCUAACACU